AACGAUGAUGCCCAGCUUGCUGGGUGGAUUAGUGGCGAACGGGUGAGUAACACGUGAGUAACCUGCCCCUGACUCUGGGAUAAGCGUUGGAAACGACGUCUAAUACUGGAUAUGAUCACUGGCCGCAUGGUCUGGUGGUGGAAAGAUUUUUUGGUUGGGGAUGGACUCGCGGCCUAUCAGCUUGUUGGUGAGGUAAUGGCUCACCAAGGCGACGACGGGUAGCCGGCCUGAGAGGGUGACCGGCCACACUGGGACUGAGACACGGCCCAGACUCCUACGGGAGGCAGCAGUGGGGAAUAUUGCACAAUGGGCGAAAGCCUGAUGCAGCAACGCCGCGUGAGGGAUGACGGCCUUCGGGUUGUAAACCUCUUUUAGUAGGGAAGAAGCGAAAGUGACGGUACCUGCAGAAAAAGCACCGGCUAACUACGUGCCAGCAGCCGCGGUAAUACGUAGGGUGCAAGCGUUGUCCGGAAUUAUUGGGCGUAAAGAGCUCGUAGGCGGUUUGUCGCGUCUGCUGUGAAAUCCCGAGGCUCAACCUCGGGCUUGCAGUGGGUACGGGCAGACUAGAGUGCGGUAGGGGAGAUUGGAAUUCCUGGUGUAGCGGUGGAAUGCGCAGAUAUCAGGAGGAACACCGAUGGCGAAGGCAGAUCUCUGGGCCGUAACUGACGCUGAGGAGCGAAAGCAUGGGGAGCGAACAGGAUUAGAUACCCUGGUAGUCCAUGCCGUAAACGUUGGGCGCUAGAUGUAGGGACCUUUCCACGGUUUCUGUGUCGUAGCUAACGCAUUAAGCGCCCCGCCUGGGGAGUACGGCCGCAAGGCUAAAACUCAAAGGAAUUGACGGGGGCCCGCACAAGCGGCGGAGCAUGCGGAUUAAUUCGAUGCAACGCGAAGAACCUUACCAAGGCUUGACAUACACCGGAAACGGCCAGAGAUGGUCGCCCCCUUGUGGUCGGUGUACAGGUGGUGCAUGGUUGUCGUCAGCUCGUGUCGUGAGAUGUUGGGUUAAGUCCCGCAACGAGCGCAACCCUCGUUCUAUGUUGCCAGCGGGUUAUGCCGGGGACUCAUAGGAGACUGCCGGGGUCAACUCGGAGGAAGGUGGGGAUGACGUCAAAUCAUCAUGCCCCUUAUGUCUUGGGCUUCACGCAUGCUACAAUGGCCGGUACAAAGGGCUGCGAUACCGUAAGGUGGAGCGAAUCCCAAAAAGCCGGUCUCAGUUCGGAUUGAGGUCUGCAACUCGACCUCAUGAAGUCGGAGUCGCUAGUAAUCGCAGAUCAGCAACGCUGCGGUGAAUACGUUCCCGGGCCUUGUACACACCGCCCGUCAAGUCAUGAAAGUCGGUAACACCCGAAGCCGGUGGCCUAACCC
rnacentral:rRNA from 1 species